CCUACGGGGGGCUGCAGUGAGGAAUAUUGGUCAAUGGACGGAAGUCUGAACCAGCCAUGCCGCGUGCAGGAAGACGGCUCUAUGAGUUGUAAACUGCUUUUGUACAAGGGUAAACAUGAAUACGUGUAUUCAGCUGAAUGUACGGUACGAAUAAGGAUCGGCUAACUCCGUGCCAGCAGCAGCGGUAAUACGGAGGAUCCAAGCGUUAACCGGAUUUAUUGGGCUUAAAGGGUGCGUAGGCGGUUUGAUAAGUUAGAGGUGAAAUGUCCGAGCUUAACUCGGGAACUGCCUCUGAUACUGUUGAUCUAGAGAGUAGAUGCGGUAGGCGGAAUGUAAGGUGUAGCGGUGAAAUGCUUAGAGAUCAUACGGAACACCGAUUGCGAAGGCAGCUUACCAAUCUAUAUCUGACGUUGAGGCACGAAAGCGUGGGGAGCAAACAGGAUUAGAUACCCGGGUAGUC
rnacentral:rRNA from 1 species